CUAGGAUAUAAAAAUAUCUUCUAAGCCGGACGGAAGGUGACCUGCCCUAUCGAUAAGAAUAAUCUCGCGAUAAACCAUUCCUCCAUGCUAAACGAAUGGUGUUUUCCUGCGAGCGAAUUUCGGCUAGCACGCAAAAGUCGCAAAUCUAUGAAAUUCGUUCAGUCGAACGGCAACCAUCAACCAGAGCUCUACAUUAGUAUAUCUUAGUUCGAUACACCGUAAAAUAGUGUGGAUUUGAUAGUUGAUAUCACGGUGUCGGUGAAGUUCAAGUGCACACAUUUCAUUUACACACGUUUACACAAUCGAAUCACAACCGUUCACGGAACGAGCAUCACACUAGAAGAAGUUGCCCAGAAAAUGCUUACUGAAGUUGUAACUCGUCCGGCUAUUUCACUGUUUGAGCAGUUGGCAUUUAUUGUAAAGCUACCGGCAGCGACUGUCUAUAUUAUUACCAAGGGCGUUUUCCUGAUCGUCAACACGUUAACGAAGUUCGGGCGUAUGAUGAAUCAAUGAUCCAUAGAGUAGCAUAUAUGUCAAACAACAGAGUGUUAUUCAUAGUGCCACGUACAAAACAUGAAUUCAUUUCAGAAAUUCAACAUCAAAACUGUGCAAAAAUCAUUUUGCUGUAGAGGAGACAGGUUUUUUUUACCAAAUUUUUUAUUGUGAUAUAAGCUUACAUGUGAAAAACGCUUAUCAGCGAUAGUAUUUGCAAUAAUUUAUACAUCCACAACUGUGCUUUUAUUGAUGUAAAUACAAAAUUAUGUUAUCUGUUUGAAAUUUCAUGAUAAAAAUCUUUCCAUGCCACAGGUAGGGUAAUUGGCACUGUUUGGUCCCUCUCCUUCGAACCCA